rnacentral:rRNA from 1 species
CGUUGUUCGGAAUUAUUGGGCGUAAAGCGCGUGUAGGCGGUUUGAUUAGUCUGAUGUGAAAGCCCUGGGCUCAACCCAGGAAGUGCAUUGGAAACUGUCAGACUUGAAUACGGGAGAGGGCAGUGGAAUUCCUGGUGUAGGAGUGAAAUCCGUAGAUAUCAGGAGGAACACCGGUGGCGAAGGCGGCUGCCUGGACCGAUAUUGACACUGAGACGCGAAAGCGUGGGUAGC